rnacentral:rRNA from 1 species
AUGUCCAUCAUGGCCAAACAAACCAAUAGCAACCGAAGGCAGCAGGGUGCGGGGAAAGGCUUGAGCGACGAGGAUGCCAUGGGCAUGCAACGGAGCGAAGGGGGCGCCGGGGCUCAGGGACGGCAUGGACGGGCAGAAGCGCUCAGGAUCGAGCUCCUCUCAAUCCAGAGCAUGGCUGCGGGCGCGAGACGGAGGUGGAGGCCCGACGAGAUCGGCAGCUUAGGCCUCCAUGGUGGCAGCGAAAGUCCUCUGAUGGACUUGGGCGACGGUGCGGUCGGGAGCCGUAGAGGAAGGGGAGUGGCCCUGGCCACGAGGUGCAGCGGCGGGAGCUUCGAGCUCGGCUGGCUGCGGCCAUGGAGGACGGGGCGCUAA